rnacentral:rRNA from 1 species
GUGGGGAAUCUUGCGCAAUGGGCGAAAGCCUGACGCAGCCAUGCCGCGUGAAUGAUGAAGGUCUUAGGAUUGUAAAAUUCUUUCACCGGGAACGAUAAUGACGGUACCCGGAGAAGAAGCCCCGGCUAACUUCGUGCCAGCAGCCGCGGUAAUACGAAGGGGGCUAGCGUUGCUCGGAAUUACUGGGCGUAAAGGGCGCGUAGGCGGACAGCUUAGUCAGAGGUGAAAGCCCAGGGCUCAACCUUGGAAUUGCCUUUGAUACUGGCUGUCUUGAGUUUGGGAGAGGUGAGUGGAACUCCGAGUGUAGAGGUGAAAUUCGUAGAUAUUCGGAAGAACACCAGUGGCGAAGGCGACUCACUGGCCCAAUACUGACGCUGAGGCGCGAAAGCGUGGGGAGCAAACAGGAUUAGAAACCCCGGUAGUCC